rnacentral:lncRNA from 1 species
CAUUCUGGAACAAGCUGAGCCUCCCCCUAGCAUCACAGACCACUUAUCUUCCCAUCAGAGGAUCUCAGAAGCCGAGUCAGGAGAUACCUGUGGGAUGUGAGACAUGACAGAGCAAGGGCUUCUCCAGCCUGCUUCUCAUCACCACAGAUGGGGGAUAAGCCACAUUGCUUCUACCUCCACAUCAGCCAUACAACCCACUCUUCAUCCAGCCAGUCCCACCAAACACCUGUGUCCCCUAGAUCUGCUAAUUGAAAAGUUGGAUCAUACCUCAGUAGUGAAGACUUGCCUAACUAUAAACGUCUUUUAACAUUGCUGUGGAUGAAAGCCAAAAAGCAAAGGAGACAGCCUUCUACUUCCACAAGGUGGGAUUGGAUCUGCUGCCCAUCUGAAACAACUAAGAAAGCAAAUGACAUCCUUGAAAUGACUCCCAAGAUGCUGAACAUCAAGCAACACAAAAGAAAUCAGAAAUGGACUAAAAUUUCUAAAACUAAGACUAAAGACUUCAGAGAAAACAAUUUUGAACACAAAGAAAUAAAAGGAGAUCCUGCAUCUUUGAUGCCUUCCUUAAGGAGAGAAAACUCAUGGAUCAUUUCCUCACUGAUCCCUGCACUGUGGAAUAAUGGAUGACAAUCUUCCAGAGUAAACCAGAACAACAAAGGCCUAGGAGAUGAAGCUGGGACCCAAAGGAACCCUUUCUCACUCAGUAGUGGAUAGAGAG